AACGAACGCUGGCGGCAGGCUUAACACAUGCAAGUCGAACGCAUCCUUCGGGGUGAGUGGCAGACGGGUGAGUAACGCGUGGGAAUCUACCCAGUUCUGCGGAACAACAGUUGGAAACGACUGCUAAUACCGCAUACGCCCUACGGGGGAAAGAUUUAUGGGAAUUGGAUGAGCCCGCGUUGGAUCAGCUAGUUGGUGAGGUAAUGGCUCACCAAGGCGACGAUCCAUAGCUGGCCUGAGAGGAUGAUCAGCCACACUGGGACUGAGACACGGCCCAGACUCCUCCGGAAGGCAGCAGUGGGGAAUCUUGGACAUUGGGCGCAAGCCUGAUCCAGCCAUGCCGCGCGAGUGAUGAAGGCCUUAGGGUUGUAAAGCUCUUUCAGUGGGGAAGAUAAUGACGGUACCCACAGAAGAAGCCCCGGCUAACUUCGUGCCAGCCGCCGCCGUAACAC
rnacentral:rRNA from 1 species